UGGGGAAUAUUGCGCAAUGGGCGAAAGCCUGACGCAGCCAUGCCGCGUGUGUGAAGAAGGCCCUAGGGUUGUAAAGCACUUUCACUUGGGAGGAAAGGUUCGUAGUUAAUAGCUGCGAGCUGUGACGUUACCUUGAGAAGAAGCACCGGCUAACUCCGUGCCAGCAGCCGCGGUAAUACGGAGGGUGCGAGCGUUAAUCGGAAUUACUGGGCGUAAAGCGCGCGUAGGCGGUUUGUUAAGUCGGAUGUGAAAGCCCCGGGCUCAACCUGGGAAUUGCACCCGAUACUGGCCGACUGGAGUGCGAGAGAGGGAGGUAGAAUUCCACGUGUAGCGGUGAAAUGCGUAGAUAUGUGGAGGAAUACCGGUGGCGAAGGCGGCCUCCUGGCUCGACACUGACGCUGAGGUGCGAAAGCGUGGGGAGCAAACAGG
rnacentral:rRNA from 1 species